GAUAGGCAGACAGAGGAUCCCAUCUUUGAAGCAUGUGCAGUGUUCAAUACAGAUGUCUAUAUUGGGAUUUGCAUCUGGUCCCAGAUGUGGCCAUAGACAUGGCUGUAGAUGGAUUCCUCCUGCAGCAGACUGCAUGAGAAUUGCUUUUUAAUGACCACCAUAUUGUCCCUGAAGCGAAGGCCUAUCUUCCUAACCCUGACCUGACAUUACUACAAAGCUGUUUCAUGACUGUGCCAUAAGUUGUGCAAUCCUGGUUUCCAAAGAAUGGAAGUUGAAGGUCACCCCAAAGGCAAUGGAGAGGCACAUGGUGGGUGUAGCCUGGCUGCAGCCCAUUAUAAUUGAAUAAUUACCCUGGAGAAAUGGCGUAAAAGUCAUCAAAGAAAUAUAUAAUUGGAUAAAAAGCUAAGCCAGUGAAAGUAGGAUCUCUCCCAUGUAGACAGUGCUAUCCACAUAGCAUUAAGAGAACCCAAGUAAUGAACAGCCUCAGCCUGUUGGGUGUACCACCUGUGAUGCGUUUAUGGGAGAGUCUUGAUGAAGGAAGGGGUACAGGUACACUUAAGCUGAAAACUACACCACUGGGUGAAACAUUCCCAGAGAUGAGCAGACAAGCACAGGAGCAGCUGAAUUAACUUCCAUGUUUUUCAAGUAUCUCCAAGGUGGGGUUUAGGAGACCUACGUUGGCAUCUCCAAUUGUGUGUUAUUACGCUUUCUCAGACUCAGUUAUCUCAUCAGAAGAAUUCAGAAGAAACUACUCAUCAAUAACUAAGGGGUUAAAGAAUCUGCAGCUAGGUGAUUUAGUGGCUGGAGCACUGGGCCUGGAAUCAGGAAGACUUGAGUUCAAAUUUGACCUAAAUACUUAUUUGUGUGAGCAUGUGCAAGUCACCUAAUCCAAUUUGCCUCAGGAUCUGCAUCAGUAAAAUGAGUUGGAGAAAGAAACAACAACCACUCCAGUAUCUUUGCCAGGAAAACCUAAAUGAAGUCAUGAAGACUCAGAUGUCUAAACACAGUUCCUUACUUUAUUUUCUAUAGUGUCUUUGUAGGGUAGCUAGAUAGUUCAAUGGAUAGAGCACUGGACUUGAAAUCAGGAAGGCUUACCUUUCUGUGUUCAAAUAUUGCCUAAGUCACUUCCCAGCUGUGUGACCCAGGGCAAGUCACUUCAGUUUGACUCAGUUUCCUCAUCCAUAAAAUGAGCUGGAGAAGGAAACAACAAACCACGUUAGUAGGAAAUCCAAGAAAAUUCCAAAUGGGGAAGAAUCAUGAAUGUCUGAACAACAAAAACUUGACUACCAAGAAAACAGUUUUCCAAAGAAGAAUUUCAAGUUAUAAAUAAGCACAUAAAAAUGAUUGAUUAUGCUUAAUACUAUUAAUCAUGUCUUUUGCCUUGAUUGCUAUCUUCAGUGCUUAUCAGAGUCAAAUGGCUCAUAGUAGGCACUUGAUGUUUAUUGACUUAGUGUUGCUUGAAUUAAGCAGGAAGUAUUGAACUCUCCUAUUCGGUCUCCCAGCAAUCCCACUAUUGGUCAGAUGCUUUAAACUAGUCAAGAGAGAAACAAAGGUCCAAAAAUAUACCAAAAGGUUCACAGAAGCUCUUUGUGGUGUCAAAGAAUUGGAAACAAAGUAGGUGCCUGUGCAUUGCGGAAUGCUUGGAAAGAAAAAAACAAACAGAAAGAUGCUCUGGGAAUCAGAGUAGACAUGGCUGGUUUUUUAAAUCUAUAUUACCAGUAACAAACAUAUAAUAAGGGUGUAAUAAGUGUUCCUUAAUUGAAUGAUUGAAUGCAUUAAGAGGAAAAUGGGAAAAAGCUGCAGGAAAUGACCUAGUGCCAAAGAGACUGGACCAAGGGAGAGAAAAAACACACUCAGUGAUUACAACAAUGUAAAUGAAAAGACAAGACAAAAGAAUAAGAACUUGGAGUACUCCAAGCACUUUUACAAACCAGUGAUGGUCCCUGAGACUAGAUAGCCCCUCAUGCAGAGAAAUAGGCGUUGACCGAUUGAGAAUUUCAUCCCUGUAUGGGGCAUUUUUACUUGACUUUUUGUUGUUGUUACAAGAGUAGAUUUGAGAAAUGACUGAAAUGAAGACAAAAGGGAUGAAGAAAGUAUCCUUUGCAAAGAUCCAAAGGAGGUGACUUGCCAAUGGUAACAGAAGUAGCAGCAGAACUGGCAUGAAGACUCACCCCACUCGGACAUCAUGCUGGGAUUCUUUCUCCUGCUCCAUGCUGAAACUCUCAGAGAACUGAAUCUGGGCUUUCUGGCUCGUGCAUUUUCCUUUAUGAUCCAUUUCUAGGAUUAUAGCUCUUAAAAGAAUAUUUUCAA